rnacentral:rRNA from 1 species
CAUGCAAGUCGAGCGGUAACAGGAGUAGUUUACUACUUGCUGACGAGCGGCGGACGGCUGAGUAACGCGUGGGAACAUGCCCCAAAGUGAGGAAUAACUGCCCGAAAGGGUAGCUAAUGCCGCAUAUGAUCUUCGGAUUAAAGGAUUUAUCCGCUUUGGGAGUGGCCCGCGUACGAUUAGAUAGUUGGUGAGGUAAAGGCUCACCAAGUCUACGAUCGUUAACUGGUCUGAGAGGAUGAUCAGUCAGACUGGAACUGAGACACGGUCCAGACUCCUACGGGAGGCAGCAGUGAGGAAUCUUCCACAAUGGGCGAAAGCCUGAUGGAGCAACGCCGCGUGAAGGAUGAAGGCCCUCGGGUCGUAAACUUCUUUUAUAAGUGAAGAAUAUGACGGUAACUUAUGAAUAAGCACCGGCUAACUACGUGCCAGCAGCCGCGGUCAUACGUAGGGUGCAAGCAUUAUCCGGAGUGACUGGGCGUAAAGAGUUGCGUAGGUGGUUAGUAAAGCGAAUAGUGAAAUUUGACGGCUCAACCGUACAAACUAUUAUUCGAACUCACUAACUCGAGAAUGGUAGAGGUAACUGGAAUUUCUUGUGUAGGAGUGAAAUCCGUAGAUAUAAGAAAGAACACCAAUGGCGUANGCAGGUUACUGGACCAUUUCUGACACUGA